CACAGGGCCCAGGAGGAGGAAGGGGACUGGAGAUGAUGAACUCUGCGAGCCUGUCCCAGCUGAGAGCCUGGGUUUGUGAGCUGCAACACAUAUCUGUUAGAGACACUGAGGCCAGGAGAGGAGAAAGGAUCAGUAUACAUUGACCAUCACUUCCAUGUCAUCAGGUAGGACGCAAAGGGACCAAAGAGGACUUCAUUUCCAUUUUGGGAUAGGCCAGAAGGAAAGAGAGUGGGGAACUACAGCAGUAAAGAUAAAGGAUGGAUAAUAAGAGGAACUUCCAGUUGCCAUCGAGCUUUGAUUCCUGGACUGGGGUACACAUACUGCUUGGCUAUGGGAAAAGGGCUGGAAUGGAAAUGACACAGGCUGGGCCUGUAGCCAAUGGGAACUUCCCCGUAGAAGAUGCCACUUAAAAGUGUUAUUAAACCCUCAGGACUUUUAAAGUGGAGAACAAGAACUGUCAGAGGGAGUCUUCUUGUUUAAGUCCACGCUGUGAAUGGAACUGAGAAGGCUGAGAAGCAUAGGCUGGACUAGGAAGCUUAAAGAAACUCAAGAGUCAGACUGGGACUGUCACUAGGUGGUAAAGCACUUGCCUAGCAUGUGUGACGCAGUGAGUUCGAUCUUCAGGACCACAUAAAAAUAAAUAAAAUAAAGGGAUUGUGUCCAUCUACAGCUAAAAAUAAAAGUUUAAAAAAAUGAAGAGCAGAAUCUGCUAGAGUGGGCGCCUCUCCUUAGCUUAGUGACUUUGAACAAUGCUAAGCCUACAGUCCUCGGCAUUGGCUCCUGGUUCAGCAUGCUGUCACUCAACAGUCUCUCCUGC